UCCGAAAAAUGAGCUCUGUUUAUUUAAAAUGUUUUGGGUAUUUGUAGAGAAAAAAUAAUAAUUCACACAUUGAAUAUUGGAAUCUGUUUUAGCAAAAGGCACAAAACAAAAACACAACACAUAGACAAAGGUUACUUUAACAAACACCUACAGAAUAUUUGACAACUAUGGAACAUUUUUAAUAAAUGAUUAGAGCAAGUAACAAACAAGACAUAUCUACUAUUGGAAUUAAGAGGGGUUUUUGACAAGCUUGCAAAAAGGAUUUUUGGAGUGGAUCCCCACACACACACACACUCACAUGCAAGCACAUCUCACACACAUCCACUCACAUGUAAGCACAUCUCACACACAUCCACUCACAUAACAUUUCACAAGCAUGAUGCAAAAAUGAAAUGAGGAUAUUAUGCCAUGAUGAAAUGACAUGAAGGAAAACAAGUUAUUACUCAAACCACAUGAUGGCAUCCAUUGAAUGUUCAACGUGGAAUCUAUUAGAAAUAAGGAAAGGGGGCACUUGGGCUGUUACAUGUAGUGUGCCUGCAGUUGCCGGAAGUCCUUGCCCAAGGACGCCAAGAUGCCAUGCUCUUUUUCCCUCAUUGUUCACAUCGAGCGGGUCAAGAGUCACUUACCCUCCUGGAGUGGUGAUUGCCUCAUCUAUGACAGCCCGCUCAGAGAAGACCUUGAAGACAUCGUCGCCGGGGAAAUUGAUGAAUUCCAAGU
rnacentral:lncRNA from 1 species